rnacentral:rRNA from 1 species
UGAGUACGAGAUGCUACGGCAUCGAAGCAGUCUAUGUCAUACUUCCAAGAAAAGCUUGCACUGUCAGAAACAGAUAAUGCCUGUACCAUAACCGACACAGGUGGGUAGGUAGAGUAUACUAAGGGGCGCGAGAUAACUCUCUCUAAGGAACUCGGCAAAAUGACUCCGUAACUUCGGGAGAAGGAGUGCCUUAUUUUUAAGGUUGCAAUAACAAGAUCCAAGCAACUGUUUACCAAAAACACAGGUCUCCGCUAAGUCGUAAGACGAUGUAUGGGGGCUGACGCCUGCCCAGUGCCAGAAGGUUAAAGAAGUCGGUUAGCAUUCGCGAAGCUGGUAACUGAAGCCCUGGUGAACGGCGGCCGUAACUAUAACGGUCCUAAGGUAGCGAAAUUCCUUGUCGGGUAAGUUCCGACCCGCACGAAAGGCGUAAUGAUUUGGAUACUGUCUCGGAGAGGGGCUCGGUGAAAUAGACUUGUCUGUGAAGAUGCGGACUACCUGCACCUGGACAGAAAGACCCUAUGAAGCUUUACUGUAACUUGAAAUUGAAAUUGGACUUUAUUUGCGCAGUAUAGGUGGGAGGCGUUGAAAAUAUUCUUGCGGGAAUAUUGGAGCCAUCAGUGAGAUACCACUCUUGUAAUGUUAGAUUUCUAACUUUAUAUCAUUAUCUGGUUAAAGAACAGUUUCAGGCGGGCAGUUUGACUGGGGCGGUCGCCUCCCAAAUGGUAACGGAGGCGCACAAAGGUUUCCUCUGAACGGGUAGAAAUCGUAUCUAGAGUGUAAAGGCAUAAGGAAGCUUGACUGUGAGACCUACAAGUCGAGCAGGGACGAAAGUCGGUCUUAGUGAUCUGACGGUGCUGAGUGGAAAGGCCGUCACUCAACGGAUAAAAGUUACUCUAGGAUAACAGGCUGAUCUCCCCCAAGAGUUCACAUCGACGGGGAGGUUUGGCACCUCGAUGUCGGCUCAUCGCAUCCUGGGGCGGUAGUACGUCCCAAGGGUUGGGCUGUUCGCCCAUGAAAGCGGUACGCGAGCUGGGUUCAGAACGUCGUGAGACAGUUCGGUCCAUAUCCGGUGUAGGCGUUAGAAUAUUGAGAGGAGCCUUCUUUAGUACGAGAGGACCGAGAAGGACAUACCUCUGGUGUACCAGUUAUCGUGCCAACGGUAAACGCUGGGUAGCUAUGUAUGGAGUGGAUAACCGCUGAAAGCAUCUAAGUGGGAAGCCCACCUCAAGAUAAGUAUUCUCAUC